rnacentral:rRNA from 1 species
CCCGUCACACCAUGAAAGUCGGCUGUACCAGAAGUCGCUGCGCUAACCGCAAGGAGGCAGGCGCCCAAGGUAUGGUCGAUGAUUGGGGUG